AUCUGAAAGAUACUAUUGUAAAACAUGUGGUGACACCAGGUGAGCUCCAGCUGCAUGAGCAGGUGUUGGAUGAUAUUUUCCAGUGUGUAGGCUUCUACAAGUAGCUUCAACUGUGGUUUGGUGUUCACAGUGGCAGAGAAGACCAGGGAGUUGAGAAAGGUGAACACAAACACCACUCCGUUGAUGCUGAUGGAUACAUCCCCCUCCUUCCCAGCUUCAACUUCUGAUUUUGGUUGAAAACCUUCCAGGCCAUCUUCUCGGAUGUUGUCUUUGGAAUCCUCCAAAACAAAGAUUUGGAUAUUCAGUUCUGCCUGGCCAGAGUCGAUGAGCUACACAGAACAACUGAAGAGGAGAAAGAAAAGUUUGACAGGGUCUAUGAAGAAACUCAGGCUUUGGUUGGCCCUCCGCGUGGCAGUGGGGCUCAAGGAGACGUUUGCUCACUGUACAGGGAGCUCUACUGCAGCGUAAUUGACAGCAUCCUAACACAGAUUGUAAACGGCUUUAGUGACCACAAAAAGCUGGCGUUCCUGGAUCCACAACAGUCCAGGCGUUUCAGUGACCAUUUUCCCAAUGCUGCCUUCAGUUUGAUAGAGAGCUUUGCCCCAACUCGACACUGAACUCACCGUCAUGUAGGUUAUAGCAUUUCUGGAAGAGCCCAGCCAACAUUCAUCACUUUGGCCUUAAUUUCCAUUGAAAAGGAAUUGCUGAUGGAUUUAAAGGAUCAGUUACAUGACCACGCCAUCAGCCACUUCAUCCAAAAGGACAGGAGAAUGGACUUUGUUUCAAGUAAUGCGAUCAUCAAAGGAGGAAUAGGAUUACAAUUUGGACUGGUCCCGGGGCAGCGAGGAAGCCUGCCCUGCCUUUCAGCCGCAUUCUCUGCUCUGUGAAAGGAGCACAAGAAAGGCACAAAUCUGCCAGACAGGGCUCUCUGAGUGGGGGAUCCUAGAGGAGGAGGAUAGGAGGGCAUGGUGCCAGAGAACAAGGUGUGGAGGUUGGCUCAUAAUUACAAAAAAAUAUAAAUCCAAGACAUUUAUUAAAGGUCUGGUUCGGUGAAAUUACAAUACCAUAACUUCUCACUUACCUGUAGUGAUAUUUAGCCAUCCAUACACACAGUUUGGGUUUUAUUUGUGAUCACUGGGAUUUCAUCCUACACUAUAACACAAUCAUUUAGUGAUGCUCAUAGCAUUUAAAAAAAAAUACAUUAAAGAAAUCCAGCCGCAGCAUGUCUUUUAAUCAGUGGUGCAGUGUUAUUUAUUCAAGUAGAAUAUUUCCAUUUGAUGCUGCUUAUACUUACAUUUCUACAAUGGACAUGUUGUACUUACCUAUUCCACUUCAUUUAUCUGUCAGAUUAUUAAAGGUUUUUAUAAAAUAUAAUGUAUUGUUGUAAAUUAAACUGUAAAAUUGUUAGAGUUAGUUUCACCUCAACCAGCUACAACAUUAACAUGCUGAUUACACAUCAGUUAUAAGAAUCCAAUAAUAUAAAGUUUCAUUCUAUAACACUGACAGGGGGAUUUUUGUCUGUACAGUACUUUUAAUACUUCACAAAAUGUAUGAUAAUUACAUACUGUCAUUGUCCAGCAAAAAUCAUGUAUCUCCAAUUUUGGUGAAUGUGAUUUUUGUUUAGAUUAAAUUGAACAAAUUGAAGUGUUCCUUUUUCCUAAUUCUUAAGCUCACUAAACAAUUUAAAUAUCUGAAAUAGGCCAAAAGGAUGAAAACAAGGCUAUUUUUUCUUUGCUUAUUAAAUGUUAAAGUUGAGAUGAAAUGAAAAAUGUCUUUAUAACCCUUUUAGAUUACAACCCCGUUCAUAUUGUGCACCUAUUUAACAAUAUAAGCAAAUAAAUAGAUAAAUAAAUUAUUGUUAUUAUAUUAAAAUCCAAUCAUCUUUUUUUCCUGUAAAACAAAAUAUGACGUGUGCUUACUAG